rnacentral:rRNA from 1 species
CGGGUGAGUAAUGGAUAAGUAACCUGCCCUUAAGUGGGGGAUAACACUUCGAAAGAAGUGCUAAUACCGCAUGUGGUGCUCUUUCACAAGAAGGAUCACUAAAACCGCAAGGUGCUUGAGGAGGGGCUUGUCUCCGAUUAGCUAGUUGGUGGGGUAACGGCCUAUCAAGGCGAUGAUCGGUAGCUGGUCUGAGAGGAUGGUCAGCCACACUGGGACUGAGACACGGCCCAGACUCCUACGGGAGGCAGCAGCAAGGAAUCUUGGGCAAUGGGCGAAAGCCUGACCCAGCGACGCCGCGUGAGGGAUGACGGCCUUCGGGUUGUAAACCUCUUUUCUCAGGGAAGAAUAAUGACGGUACCUGAGGAAUAAGUCUCGGCUAACUACGUGCCAGCAGCCGCGGUAAUACGUAGGAGGCGAGCGUUAUCCGGAUUUAUUGGGCGUAAAGUGGGCGUAGGUGGUCUUUCAAGUCGGAUGUGAAAUCUCCCGGCUCAACUGGGAGGGGUCAUCCGAUACUGUUGGACUUGAGUACAGCAGGGGAAAAUGGAAUUCCCGGUGUAGUGGUGAAAUGCGUAGAUAUCGGGAGGAACACCAGAGGCGAAGGCGAUUUUCCAGGCUGAAACUGACACUGAGGCCCGAAAGCGUGGGGAGCGAACAGGAUUAGAUACCCUGGUAGUCCACGCCUUAAACUAUGGGUACUAGGUAUAGGG